rnacentral:rRNA from 1 species
CUACGGGAGGCACCAGUGGGGAAUAUUGGACAAUGGGGGAAACCUUGAUCCAGCAAUGCCGCGUGUGUGAAGAAGGCCUGCGGGUUGUAAAGCACUUUCGGUUGGGAGGACUGCUUCUAGCACUAAUAUUGUUGGAAGUUGACGUUACCUUCAGAAGAAGCACCGGCUAACUCCGUGCCAGCAGCCGCGGUAAUACGGAGGGUGCAAGAGUAAUCGGAAUUACUGGGCGUAAAGCGCGCGUAGGCGGCUAGAUCAGUCGGGUGUGAAAGCCCCGGGCUUAACCUGGGAACUGCAUCCGAUACUGUCUAGCUUGAGUACAGGAGAGGAGAGUGGAAUUCCACAUGUAGCGGUGACAUGCGUAGAUAUGUGGAGGAACACCAAUGGCGAAGGCAGCUCUCUGGCCUGAUACUGACGCUGAGGUGCGAAAGCGUGGGGAGCAAACAGGAUUAGAUACCCUAGUAGUC